CCUACGGGUGGCUGCAGUAAGGAAUAUUGCUCAAUGGGGGAAAUCCUGAAGCAGCAACGCCGCGUGGAGGAUGAAGGUUUUCGGAUUGUUAACUCCUUUUUUUCGAGAAGAUAAUGACGGUAUGUAUCCCAUAAUCACCGUCUAACUCGGUGGCGGCUGCCGCAGUUAUGUGGCGGGUGCAAGCGUUACUCGGAAUUACUGGGCGUAAACAGCGCGUAGGCGGGAUAGCAAGUCCGAUGGGAGUACCUUUGGCUUAAACCUAGAACUGCAUUUGAAACUGGUAGUCUAGAGUAUGGGAGAAGUAGGUGGAAUGCGUGGUGUAGGGGUAAAAUCCGUAGAGAUCGAGAGGAAUACUCAUUGCGAAGGCAACCUGCUAGCACAAAACUGACGCUGAUGCGCGAAAGCGUGGGGAUCGAACAGGAUUAGAUACCCGAGUAGUC
rnacentral:rRNA from 1 species